rfam:Schistosoma mattheei strain Denwood, Zambia genome assembly, scaffold: SMTD_scaffold0002060
AUCCAGCUGACGAGUUCGAAGUAGGACGAAACGCGCGUUCUGAAU